AAGUCGAGCGGACAGAAGGGAGCUUGCUCCCGGAUGUUAGCGGCGGACGGGUGAGUAACACGUGGGUAACCUGCCUGUAAGACUGGGAUAACUCCGGGAAACCGGAGCUAAUACCGGAUAGUUCCUUGAACCGCAUGGUUCAAGGAUGAAAGACGGUUUCGGCUGUCACUUACAGAUGGACCCGCGGCGCAUUAGCUAGUUGGUGGGGUAAUGGCUCACCAAGGCGACGAUGCGUAGCCGACCUGAGAGGGUGAUCGGCCACACUGGGACUGAGACACGGCCCAGACUCCUACGGGAGGCAGCAGUAGGGAAUCUUCCGCAAUGGACGAAAGUCUGACGGAGCAACGCCGCGUGAGUGAUGAAGGUUUUCGGAUCGUAAAGCUCUGUUGUUAGGGAAGAACAAGUGCGAGAGUAACUGCUCGCACCUUGACGGUACCUAACCAGAAAGCCACGGCUAACUACGUGCCAGCAGCCGCGGUAAUACGUAGGUGGCAAGCGUUGUCCGGAAUUAUUGGGCGUAAAGGGCUCGCAGGCGGUUUCUUAAGUCUGAUGUGAAAGCCCCCGGCUCAACCGGGGAGGGUCAUUGGAAACUGGGAAACUUGAGUGCAGAAGAGGACAGUGGAAUUCCACGUGUAGCGGUGAGAUGCGUAGAGAUGUGGAGGAACACCAGUGGCGAAGGCGACUCUCUGGUCUGUAACUGACGCUGAGGAGCGAAAGCGUGGGGAGCGAACAUGAUUAGAUACCCUGGUAGUCCACGCCGUAAACGAUGAGUGCUAAGUGUUACGGGGUUUCCGCCCCUUAGUGCUGCAGCUAACGCAUUAAGCACUCCGCCUGGGGAGUACGGUCGCAAUACUGA
rnacentral:rRNA from 1 species